AGUGAACGCUGGCGGUAGGCCUAACACAUGCAAGUCGAACGGCAGCACAGUAAGAGCUUGCUCUUACGGGUGGCGAGUGGCGGACGGGUGAGGAAUACAUUGGAAUCUACUUUUUCGUGGGGGAUAACGUAGGGAAACUUACGCUAAUACCGCAUACGACCUACGGGUGAAAGCAGGGGAUCUUCGGACCUUGCGCGAUUGAAUGAGCCGAUGUCGGAUUAGCUAGUUGGCGGGGUAAAGGCCCACCAAGGCGACGAUCCGUAACUGGUCUGAGAGGAUGAUCAGCCACACUGGAACUGAGACACGGUCCAGACUCCUACGGGAGGCAGCAGUGGGGAAUAUUGGACAAUGGGCGCAAGCCUGAUCCAGCCAUACCGCGUGGGUGAAGAAGGCCUUCGGGUUGUAAAGCCCUUUUGUUGGGAAAGAAAAGCAGCAGGUUAAUACCCCGCUGUUCUGACGGUACCCAAAGAAUAAGCACCGGCUAACUUCGUG
rnacentral:rRNA from 1 species